rnacentral:rRNA from 1 species
GUGGGGAAUAUUGGGCAAUGGGCGAAAGCCUGACCCAGCAACGCCGCGUGAAGGAAGAAGGUUUUCGGAUCGUAAACUUCUAUCCUUGGUGAAGAUAAUGACGGUAGCCAAGAAGGAAGCCCCGGCUAACUACGUGCCAGCAGCCGCGGUAAUACGUAGGGGGCAAGCGUUGUCCGGAAUGAUUGGGCGUAAAGGGCGCGUAGGCGGCCCGGUAAGUCUGAAGUGAAAGUCCUGCUUUUACGGUGGGAAUUGCUUUGGAUACUGUCGGGCUUGAGUGCAGGAGAGGUAAGCGGAAUUCCCGGUGUAGCGGUGAAAUGCGUAGAGAUCGGGAGGAACACCAGUGGCGAAGGCGGCUUACUGGACUGUAACUGACGCUGAGGCGCGAAAGUGUGGGGAGCAAACAGGAUUAGAUACCCGAGUAGUCC